GACGUAGGGCGCGAGCGUUGUCCGGAUUUAUUGGGCGUAAAGAGCUCGUAGGCGGCUUGUUGCGUCGACUGUGAAAACCUGCGGCUCAACCGUGUGGUCUGCAGUCGAUACGGGCAGGCUGGAGUUCGGUAGGGGAGACUGGAAUUCCUGGUGUAGCGGUGAAAUGCGCAGAUAUCAGGAGGAACACCUGUGGUGUAGACGGCUUACUGGACCACGACUGACGCUGAGACACGAAAGUGUGGGGAGCAAACAGG
rnacentral:rRNA from 1 species